rnacentral:rRNA from 1 species
UACGAAGGGGGCUAGCGUUGUUCGGAAUUACUGGGCGUAAAGCGCACGUAGGCGGACAUUUAAGUCAGGGGUGAAAUCCCAGAGCUCAACUCUGGAACUGCCUUUGAUACUGGGUGUCUUGAGUAUGGAAGAGGUGAGUGGAAUUCCGAGUGUAGAGGUGAAAUUCGUAGAUAUUCGGAGGAACACCAGUGGCGAAGGCGGCGCUCUGGGCCGGAACUGACGCUGAGGAGCGAAAGCGUGGGUAGCAAACAGG